rnacentral:misc_RNA from 1 species
UUCACGAUGUAAGUCAUUCUAGCAUUUCCCACAUUCAUAUUGUAUAUGUCUAGAUUCAUUACCAACAAUAUAAAUGUGGAAAAUGCUAGUAUAUGUCUAGAUUCAUUAACAACAAUAUGAAUGUGGGAAAUGCUAGAAUGACUUCCAUUGUGAAA